rnacentral:rRNA from 1 species
AGUGGCGGACGGGUGAGUAACGCGUGGGUAACCUGCCCUGUACAGGGGGAUAACAGCUGGAAACGGCUGCUAAUACCGCAUAAGCGCACGAGGAGACAUCUCCUAGUGUGAAAAACUCCGGUGGUACAGGAUGGGCCCGCGUCUGAUUAGCUGGUUGGCAGGGUAACGGCCUACCAAGGCAACGAUCAGUAGCCGGUCUGAGAGGAUGAACGGCCACAUUGGAACUGAGACACGGUCCAAACUCCUACGGGAGGCAGCAGUGGGGAAUAUUGCACAAUGGGGGAAACCCUGAUGCAGCAACGCCGCGUGAGUGAAGAAGUAUUUCGGUAUGUAAAGCUCUAUCAGCAGGGAAGAUAAUGACGGUACCUGACUAAGAAGCUCCGGCUAAAUACGUGCCAGCAGCCGCGGUAAUACGUAUGGAGCAAGCGUUGUCCGGAUUUACUGGGCGUAAAGGGAGCGUAGGCGGACUUUUAAGUGAGAUGUGAAAUACCCGGGCUCAACUUGGGUGCUGCAUUUCAAACUGGAAGUCUAGAGUGCAGGAGAGGAGAAUGGAAUUCCUAGUGUAGCGGUGAAAUGCGUAGAUAUUAGGAGGAACACCAGUGGCGAAGGCGGCUUGCUGGACGACAACUGACGCUGAGGCGCGAAAGCGUGGGGAGCAAACAGGAUUAGAUACCCUGGUAGUCCACGCUGUAAACGAUGAAUACUAGGUGUGGGAGGACUGACCCCUUCCGUGCCGCAGUUAACACAAUAAGUAUUCCACCUGGGGAGUACGACCGCAAGGUUGAAACUCAAAGGAAUUGACGGGGGCCCGCACAAGCAGUGGAUUAUGUGGUUUAAUUCGACGCAACGCGAAGAACCUUACCAGGAUUUGACAUCCAACUAACGAAGUAGAGAUACAUUAGGUACCCUUCGGGGGAAGUUGAGACAGGUGGUGCAUGGUUGUCGUCAGCUCGUGUCGUGAGAUGUUGGGUUAAGUCCCGCAACGAGCGCAACCCCUAUUGUUAGUUGCUACGAAAGAGCACUCUAGCGAGACUGCCGUUGACAAAACGGAGGAAGGCGGGGACGACGUCAAAUCAUCAUGCCCCUUAUGUCCUGGGCUACACACGUAAUACAAUGGCGGUCAACAGAGGGAUGCAAAGCCGCGAGGUGGAGCAAAUCCCUAAAAGCCGUCUCAGUUCGGAUUGCAGGCUGCAACUCGCCUGCAUGAAGCUGGAAUUGCUAGUAAUCGCGGAUCAGCAUGCCGCGGUGAAUACGUUCCCGGGCCUUGUACUCACCGCCCGUCA